GUAGGUGGCAAGCGUUAUCCGGAAUUACUGGGCGUAAAGGGCACGCAGGCGGCCAUGAAAGUCUGACGUGAAAGCUCCUGGCUUAACUGGGAGAGGUCGUUGGAAACUGGAUGGCUUGAGGCAAUGAGAGGGGUGCGGAAUUCCCGGUGUAGUGGUGGAAUGCGUAGAUAUCGGGAGGAACACCAGUGGCGAAGGCGGCACCCUAGCAUUGACCUGACGCUCAUGUGCGAAAGCGUGGGGGAGCAAACGGGAUUAGAUACCCCGGUAGUCCACGCUGUAAACGAUGAGCACUAGGUGUGGGUAGUGUUAAAGCUAUCUGUGCCGAAGCAAACGCGAUAAGUGCUCCGCCUGGGAGUACGGCCGCAAGGCUA
rnacentral:rRNA from 1 species